GUAGACACCCACCUGGAGCCAGAACCACCACCUCAUUCAUCCCUGUGGACACUGACUGGAUCACCAGUGGACAAAUGGUCCAUCCCACACAGAUGAGAUUCAAUCCUGGGACCUUUGCCAGAACUUUCUUUCAAUGUUCCUAGGCCACAUAAAAGAAGCCGCCACUGCUGCUGCUUUGGCAGGGCUGGGAUGACAGCUGAUCUCCCGUCUCCCUCCAAUCCAUGUUGUCAUUGGAGCCAGCAUGAUCUUCUCCAAAACGCAAUUCCAACCCUGAGCUUCCCAGAGAUUACCUUCUAGGGAUGACCCCCAAACUGACCUCAGAAGGCUGCUGGUCAUGGCACGUAGACCCCUGUGGACAAAGAACCCAUGUGGUGGUUCAGAUUCCUGAGCUAAAGGAAGAUGCCUCAAAAGUUUGCAGCGGGGAACUUGCCCUGUACAGAGGAACAGAAGGGUGUGAAAGUGGGUGCUAUGUCUGGAGGAGCCGUGGAGCAGAGCCAGAGGGAUGGAGCAUGCCAGGAGGGAG
rnacentral:lncRNA from 13 species